CCGGAAGUAGUCGUACCGGCAAAAUAGAGUCAGGGCUGAGUAUCUGUAGUCACGUGUUCACCUUUCUGUGGUUCACCUGUGUGAUGAUUCCAGGAGGAAGAAACGUGAGCUGUGUAGGAGGUGAGAUGGGGCCUGUGGGAGUCCAGGUGUGGUGGCUUCACUGGAGUCAAAGACAGCUGAUCUCUGGGCUCUGGUGCAGAUGACACAAGUUUUUCAAGGCCAAACCUCUUGAAAGGCACUUUUCAAAAAGAAGAAGCAGGAGGCGGCCAUAGAUCAUUUUGUUUGUCCUGUCCAGAGUCGUUUGUCUCGACCUGUCUCGUAACGCUGGACGGCUGCUGCCCCCUGCUGAGACCUGAGCUCUUUGUGUUUGUCAUUCUGUCCUCUUUCUAAAAGUGUCCUUGUACUUUGUGAUUAUCCACCCCGACAUUAAUUACACAACUUUCGGUGUCAGAGUUUCUGUAUCAGCACUUAUUUAAUCACUAUCUAUUAAAUAACCAUUUAAACAUAAAUUCAGUGAAGUAAAGAUAAAGAAUACCAGAACUGAAACCUUUAUCUGAGUUAUGAGACAUGAUAAAAAAACUUUUACAAUCCUGCAAAUCCUGUCUAUUAUUAAGGCUGUGUUCUUUCUUGUUUAUCUGCAAAUUAUGCAGGAUUAUUCAUUUUAUACCAGGUUAUAUAAAGAUUUAAUGUGUCUUCAUUUCAUCCUGUUGUAUGCAAAUAAAACCCGAAAUGUCCUGGAUACAAAUGACGCCAUAUUACGCUUUUGACCUCAAAAUGGACUCAUCCGUCAGUGUCAGCUGUCAAUCAUGAUGUUUCCACCCGUCUUUAUAGCAUCAAAUAAAUAAACACUUGAACAAAUA